rnacentral:rRNA from 1 species
GUUGAAAAAUUAGCGGAUGACUUGUGGCUGGGGGUGAAAGGCCAAUCAAACCGGGAGAUAGCUGGUUCUCCCCGAAAGCUAUUUAGGUAGCGCCUCGUGAAUUCAUCUCCGGGGGUAGAGCACUGUUUCGGCAAGGGGGUCAUCCCGACUUACCAACCCGAUGCAAACUGCGAAUACCGGAGAAUGUUAUCACGGGAGACACACGGCGGGUGCUAACGUCCGUCGUGAAGAGGGAAACAACCCAGACCGCCAGCUAAGGUCCCAAAGUCAUGGUUAAGUGGGAAACGAUGUGGGAAGGCCCAGACAGCCAGGAUGUUGGCUUAGAAGCAGCCAUCAUUUAAAGAAAGCGUAAUAGCUCACUGGUCGAGUCGGCCUGCGCGGAAGAUGUAACGGGGCUAAACCAUGCACCGAAGCUGCGGCAGCGACACUAUGUGUUGUUGGGUAGGGGAGCGUUCUGUAAGCCUGUGAAGGUGUGCUGUGAGGCAUGCUGGAGGUAUCAGAAGUGCGAAUGCUGACAUAAGUAACGAUAAAGCGGGUGAAAAGCCCGCUCGCCGGAAGACCAAGGGUUCCUGUCCAACGUUAAUCGGGGCAGGGUGAGUCGACCCCUAAGGCGAGGCCGAAAGGCGUAGUCGAUGGGAAACAGGUUAAUAUUCCUGUACUUGGUGUUACUGCGAAGGGGGGACGGAGAAGGCUAUGUUGGCCGGGCGACGGUUGUCCCGGUUUAAGCGUGUAGGCUGGUUUUCCAGGCAAAUCCGGAAAAUCAAGGCUGAGGCGUGAUGACGAGGCACUACGGUGCUGAAGCAACAAAUGCCCUGCUUCCAGGAAAAGCCUCUAAGCAUCAGGUAACAUCAAAUCGUACCCCAAACCGACACAGGUGGUCAGGUAGAGAAUACCAAGGCGCUUGAGAGAACUCGGGUGAAGGAACUAGGCAAAAUGGUGCCGUAACUUCGGGAGAAGGCACGCUGAUAUGUAGGUGAAGUCCCUCGCGGAUGGAGCUGAAAUCAGUCGAAGAUACCAGCUGGCUGCAACUGUUUAUUAAAAACACAGCACUGUGCAAACACGAAAGUGGACGUAUACGGUGUGACGCCUGCCCGGUGCCGGAAGGUUAAUUGAUGGGGUCAGCGCAAGCGAAGCUCUUGAUCGAAGCCCCGGUAAACGGCGGCCGUAACUAUAACGGUCCUAAGGUAGCGAAAUUCCUUGUCGGGUAAGUUCCGACCUGCACGAAUGGCGUAAUGAUGGCCAGGCUGUCUCCACCCGAGACUCAGUGAAAUUGAACUCGCUGUGAAGAUGCAGUGUACCCGCGGCAAGACGGAAAGACCCCGUGAACCUUUACUAUAGCUUGACACUGAACAUUGAGCCUUGAUGUGUAGGAUAGGUGGGAGGCUUUGAAGUGUGGACGCCAGUCUGCAUGGAGCCGACCUUGAAAUACCACCCUUUAAUGUUUGAUGUUCUAACGUUGACCCGUGAUCCGGGUUGCGGACAGUGUCUGGUGGGUAGUUUGACUGGGGCGGUCUCCUCCUAAAGAGUAACGGAGGAGCACGAAGGUUGGCUAAUCCUGGUCGGACAUCAGGAGGUUAGUGCAAUGGCAUAAGCCAGCUUGACUGCGAGCGUGACGGCGCGAGCAGGUGCGAAAGCAGGUCAUAGUGAUCCGGUGGUUCUGAAUGGAAGGGC